CUGAUUAGCACUUGAGAAAACAGCAACAACUGUCUUUGCUAACGUAGCUUCAAGGUCUUGAACUAGCAUAAAUGCGGAGAGAAAGCCCUCCGGAGCACUCGGGAUCCCAGAGAGCUCACCAGGUUUUGCAGCAAUUGAACCAGCAACUGCUUAGCCUGCCUUCCGUCGUCCGGAGGAGCCGGAUUGCGUUAAUUUCUGCUCGUCGUUCCUUUUUCCUAUGCAUAUACUUCUUUGAUAGUUCGAAUUUAAAGAGGCAUAAGGCAUGGGAAAAUGGGGCGAUGGAGUGUGGCAUCGCCCUGGCGAGAGGCCGCCUUCAGCUGCAUUCCCAAGUGAGAUUGAAAACCUUUCAAGGAAGCAAGCCGCGAGAUUGAUCCCAGCUCUACCGAUCGGGUCUCCAGUUUUUGUCAAUGUUGGCGACAGACUGCAGUUCUGGAGAAAAUGAUCCUAGAAAAUGGGUUCUCACGGAUCUAUAUAUUUGCAUUGUUAAGAUGGUUGCCUUCUGUUACAUGUUUUUGUGAGUAAAUGUCAGGCCAUAGUUUAAACUAAAAUUCCUCUUUUUCACAGGUUCUCAUGGAUCUGUACAUUUGCAUUGUUAAGAUGGUUGCCUUCUGUUAAAUGUUGCUUUGUGAAUAAAUUUCAAUCAUACUUGACUUCCAAUUAAACGUGCAUAGGAUUUCUGUGUAAUAAAGUAAGUGAAGUAUGCAUGUUUAUUGUAUCUGAACAAAUGAUAUAAUUAUGCCUGUAUGUCACUUUGUGAAAAACAAGCUUCAUUUGAUUUAUACCUGUUGCUUUUGAUUUAGUAAUAAAAUUAUAUAUAUAUUUGA